rnacentral:ncRNA from 1 species
UAAAUAGAGGCGCAAUGAUGAUUAGUAGCAAAGUUCAGGUACUCAAUUACCGUUUAUGCUUUGCGAAAGGCUGAUUUGCCGCGAUGACACCUUAAUUGAGUAUGGUGUUAUCGGUCGGGUAUGAGAAAAUCUAUUCGACUGUCACAGAUC